rnacentral:sRNA from 1 species
GUAUGAGGGUGUUGGAAGCCCUGGAACUGGAGUUACAGACAGCUGUGAGAUGCCUCGUGGUUGCUAGGAAUUGAAUCCAGCUCCCCUGAACCACCAGCUCACACCCGACUCACACCUCCCAGUUCCCCUUUCCAGCCCUCACCUUCUUACAGAAACAGACCCACACUCGUGUACCCUGGAGCUCACCCCAGCAUGGACUGGGCAUGAUCUCAAGGAAGGACAAGCUCACAGUAGUCCCUCACUCAGACAGUACUGACUCAGUGCCCUCGAAUCAGAGAAGCAGACGGCUUCUCCCUCCUCCUUUCAGCCAACAAAACACCGCCACGAGAGGUGGUAGGUUCCGAGCCAGUGGGGUUCAGGGACACAAAGAAGCACCACAGCUGCUGCUUAGCACCCUCCAAACCACACCCCAACUGCACACCACACCACCACCGCAGCAGCCCACCAUGCCAUACUUCCCCUACUGGGCCCUGUUGGGCUAUAGAAAAAAAUGUCCUACAAAGAAACAAUAUAAGUAUUUUCUAUUGCUUCCCAGGACCGGAGCAAAGCCCUUACCUCGGAAGAGUGUCACCCUCAGAACACCCUCCUCCCCCAAAAAAUACACAAACCACUUGGCAUGGUUAAAAGCUGACAGGGCAUGGGAAGGGAUAUUCCACAAGGGUUGACACAGUUUUCAGGCUCACAACAGGAUACCUUUAAAAGAAGCCCACCUUCUACCAUGAGAAACGAAAGACAGAAAUAGACUCCACAGCAGCAAGGGAAGGGACUGGCAGGCGUGGGGGUUUUUUUUCUCUUCUUUUUUUAAAGAUUUGUUCUGAUCUAUGUUCUCCCACUAAUAGUUUAAGCAAACCCACAUUGUUCCCAAGGAGAUAUUCCUUACUAAAAGCUGGUUGCCACAGCUCUGCUCAGCACUACUCUGGAAUUCUAUUCUCCAAACUGGGAUGCCUCCUUUCACAGCAAGGGUCAGGCCAUCCUGGGAAAUCAGCAAGAGGACAAGUGUAGGUGUACCUCACACUGUGACCCACAGACUUAGGACUCUCUUCCUUAUGGUCCACCAAGUGAUCUCCUCAAACCCAAGGACCAGAGAGGGAUAAGGAUGCACCUAGGUCACACAGUAAGCCAGAGGCCAAGGAUACCAGCCCUGGCUUUCAAUGCUGAUUUUAUACAUUCACCUGCAUAACGUUUUUUGCUGGCUAUCCAUCACUCUUGGCAAGCAGACAGCCCCAGGAGGGUCUGCUUCAGACUGCCCUAUUCACUGGUGAUAUCUGCACAGUCUGGAAGGAAUAAGUACCUGCUAGGUGGGUGGAUGAGUGGGUCCAAGCCUGGACCAAUAGAUGUUGAAAGAAUAGGCUCUCAUUUCAGGAUGGGGGUGUACUUCUGUGAGCCACGCCCCUCUGCUAGAUGCUGGAGUAUCUCCCCUCCUCUCAGUGUGUCCCCAGCUGGUGGUCAGGUGGAUAUUCCGCAAGCUCACAGAGGUCCAAGAUCAGGCCGGGGACAGAGCUCUAGGAGCCCAGGCAGGGAAGUUCAAGUCCACUUUGAUUCUUGUGAUCUUUGGCUUCCUGGAUGUUAAGCACCACCUGGGGUCAAGGAAUGGUUCUUGGACCAGAAAGCUUCAAGCUAUACGGAGGAGUGGGGAGAAGAUGGAGAACAAAGGACUGGGUUCAGCUGAGAACCCCAGCCUACAAGGAGAGGUGAGCCAGAUCUGGUAAUGAUUCUAGCAUCAAACUCUUCUUUUGAGUUAGUCACAGAGUUCACAGAGCGCUAACGGAGCCACUGGAAGCCGCUUGAGCAGGAGAUCGGCUCAGCAUUCCCUCCUAGAUGGUACAGAGAGGUGCCCAGAGACAUGGCGGGUGGUCAGGAGGCUGGAUACCAGGUGCCAGCUGGUGAUAGAAUGAAGGUCCUUGAAAUCAUGACCAGCCUUCCAUUGGGGCUGAUCGGCCCUGGAGCAGGGGCAGAGUCCUCAGAACGGCCCUUUUCCAGCGCCCUUCACCCACUAGGCAUGACUGCACAGAUCCACAGGCUAGCCACACUUCUCUACCCCCUGCCAAGCAUCUAGCAACCUCAGCCUUCGGGCUUUCCAUAGGAAGGGGGUUGGUUGAUGGAACAUGGCAACUAGUAACAUUCCACUUCUACCCUGUUACGAGCACCAUGGAAACAGGACACUCAGAAUGUCCCAGCUAGGAGACCUAGCCUCAAAGCUCCAUCUACUAAAUGGAGAUACCAAGGCUGGGGUGGAAGGGUGGGGGAUGGAGAUGGGACAAGGUGAACAGACUAACCAACCAGUCCAGGAGACGGGUAGGCUCAGUUAGCAGAUGUCUCCUGUCCACUGGAUGCCCAACAAGUGUGGGCAGAAUGUCCUUCUCGCCCACCCUUCCCCCAUGCAUCUUAGUCCUGGGCUGACCAGAACAGUUCAUCAGUACCAGGCUCCAGGUUCUUCCCCAAGCUCUCUGGGAGUUGGGUCCUGGAUUGUGAUUCUCUCUCAAGCAGCCUGCCCUUGGGGAGGGGGAGGGUGGCGCUUCCUUCCCGCCCUGUUCCCAUUAACUGAGACUAAAUAACAUCAGGGAAACACUGAGGUGAGGGUCUGGGGUGUGGCUCAGUGGCACAGAACCUGCCUAACUGUAGAAAUCCUGGGUUCCAGCCCCAGAAAAGUCGGUUGCACAAAAUCUUGCCAGUGUCCUUAACCUACCUCCCAGAAGGGGAGUUUUACAUAAUCAGAAUGGUGGGCACAGCAGAGGCAGGGAAACUGAAUAAUAGGUAAUUUGAAGGCUGGAUCUCUUCCAAGGAGAAACACCUCACCAGAGCUCCCAGUCCCUGAGGUGGGUGGGUGGGGCUGGUUAGCUGAGUGAUCCCAAAGUCCACAGUCCCUGAACUCCACAGUCAAUGGACCACUCUUCCGCACACCUGCGACCUGUUCCCAAGUGCCUGCCCUCAGCAUAAAAGGCCUGGGAUUGUACAUUAACCUCCAGAUACUCAUCUUCCCCCACUCCCUAUGUUGGUCUCCCUCUCCCGAGGGACUGCAAGCCGCCCAGCACCAGACACUGGUUUAUUCAUUGCUGCCCUUCCGACCCCUGGGAUGGUGCCUGACAUACAGUAGGUGCUCAGUAAGCAUCUGCGGUGCAACCGGUGGUACACACCUGCAGUUUCAGCCACCUGGGAAGCUGAGGCAGGAGAAUUGAAUGGGUGAGAUCCUGUAUUUAAAAAGACACGUGUUCCUCCUGUCAGUGGUAAGGGCUCAGGCGGCUGUUCACCUUCAGGGCAAGUUGGAAGUCACUGAGUGAGGCGACACCCUCACUGAGCUGUAGUCUGGGUGGUCAGCUAGGACAGAAGAGGCCAGCGGGUCACAAGCCAAGGAUGUGCACAGUGGACCGGCGUGGGCUUGUAUGUUCUGCAGUGUGUUCUGCAGGGCAUUCUGCAGGGUGGCAGGUCAUAAUGGGCCAUUGUUUGUACAGACCAAGUGGCAGAACCUGGAACAGUACGGUGCUGUUUUUGUUAAAAACAAAACCAAACCACAGCUGGCUGGCUGGCUGGCUGGCUGGCUGGCUGGCUGACUGACCUGCUGAGCAAAUCCUUACACCCACAAGGAAAUGAAAACGGACCCAGAAAGUGAUAAAAGCAGACUGCGUUCCGACAGACACUCCAGGGACCACACAGCUAAAGUUGCAUGUGAGAGCAAUAGAUCGCCUUAAGGUCUUUAUUUAGUCAUUUUUAGCGUUGGGGAUAGAACCCAGGGCCUCACACUUGGCAAGUACACACUCGGUAGCUUAUACCCUCAACCUAGCCUUAUAUAUGGAUAUUUUGUAAUGAUCUAAAGGGGAUACAUUUUAGCUUAUAACAGUUCUGUAUCACUUGAGGUAUACAGUUCUUGUAACUAAACAUGAAUCAUUUGGUAGUUUGUCAAAUGAAAUGGUAUGUCCAUUCAAAAAUCUAGCGCACAAGGUCCGCAGGAGAUUCUCUCACAAUCCUACACCUACAGACGAAGCAUCUGCAGGACAGAUGGACAAGCUGUUUUAUGGUUAUGCCUCUUGCCCAGAGGGCACUCUAUAGUAUUCGAACACAGAAAGCAAUGACCUCCAGUUUACACUGCUUUCUAUCCCCCUCACACAUAAUCAAGAUAAAGUUUAAUUUAUAAAUUAGUCAUUCUGAGAGCAACGGCUCAUAAUAAAACAGAACUAUAACCCUAUGCUGUCAUAAAAUGUAUCCAGCAACACAUGAAACUGCUCAUUUCUGGAAUUUUCCAUUUAACAGUCAGUGCUACGGUUAGCCAUACAUAAUGCACACAUACAUACAGUACCAGGAUUACAAGGGUGAUUCACCAUGCCUGGCACAAAUCCACUGAUAUGAGGAGGUGACUUGGCAAAAUUCAUUCACAGUGACAGACAUCUCAAAGUGACUCUCUUAAGGGGCGGAGAGGGCUGGGGAUGUGGUUCAGUGGCAUAGUGUCUGACAAGCAAGGGUGAAGUCCUUAUCCCCUCCUCAAGCAGAAAAGCAAGGCGUGGAGGAGCUAAAGAGAAACCAUUGCAGAAAAGACAGCCGCUGUGUGAGCAGGAGAACGAAUGUGCUCAGUGACUCAUGGCACCUUAUCACUGAGACCUUUGGAAACUUUUGGAGAAUUAAACCUCUCACAAGUCAAGGGAGGGGGCUUUGGGAGAACCCAGCCCCAGGCUUUCGGUGCACAGGAUCAGUCAGGCGUAUGAACUCAGUAUGUGAGAGGCCAUGGACUGUCAGAGCAGUCACAAGUCUCAAGCAGGGCAGCCUGCGCUGAAUCCAGCCCCAGAUACUCCGCUGCUUUGCCUGUGCUGGGCUCCAUCCACCGUGAUUUGGGUUCAUUGCCAGGAAUCAAAAUAGAGCAUGCCCACUAGCCUGCUGCAGCCUGGGACUCAGCCAAAGCUGGAGCCCCAAGCAGGAAGCACCCAGGAGGCUGGUUCCCUAGCAGUGCCCGGCAUGUGGCUAGCGCAGAGGAUCAUGGGAAACCAUUGCCGGAUGUGGUCUUGGGGAGCCUGGUUGUAUCAACAGGAAAAUAGAAGCUGAGUGAUUGCAGCUCUAGCAAAAGGACUCCUGGGAUGCGCAGAACCACGAGGGAGCUCUGAAUGCACCGGAGGCGAGAAGAGAUGCAAUGGCUGAUGUGGCUUCUGGUGCUCCAAGUCUCAGUCUCCCUACAUAGUCUGUCACCUGAUCUACACCCCGAGUUUGGAAUGACUUGUAGUCAGCCACUGGAAGAGCCCUCUGAGUGCCAGGCACCGAGCAUCACUGCCCAGAAUCUGUGAGGUAGCCCAGCAUGUUGAUGUGUAUGCCUUUGUCCAUUUCACAGGUGAGAAAAAUGGGACUCAGAGAGGUUAAAAGCCUGAGAGGAAUCAGCCAGCUUCUAAGAAACAGAAAAUCACAAGCUGGUCCCCAGAUGAUAUGGUUCCUGCCACCCUUUAUACUGAAUUAUAUGAAAACUGAAGAAAAAAAGACCCCUGGGAGACAUCUCAUCCCUGGGAGAUGGUCAGGAUGGGACCUGGCUUGACCAGGAGGUUGUCCAGGGUCAGAGAACGCCCUCAGUUCUGGAGACGUGGCUCAUCAGGUAAGAGUGCACGUCACUGUUGUAGAACGCCAGAGUGUGGGGGACCCAUACUGAGGGACACACAGUUGCCGGUGACUCCAGCUCCAGGGGAUCUGACACCCUCCUCCCCAGCCCUCUGUGCACUUGGGCACAUGCUCACUCGAAUGUCUAUAUACCCUCACAGACACAUAAAAAAUGAAAACAAAUUUAGAAACCCCAACCACCCCCAAUCCCACAUGAGGACACAGCAUGUAGACCACAGUGGGCAUGUAGAAUACUUCUUCAACUGGGCAUGAUGGUCUGUAAUCCCAGCACCUAGAGCAAGAAGACUGUCAUGAGUGAGUUCUAAGCCAGCCUGAGGUAAAGUGUGAAGCCCUGUCCUACUAAAAGACCCUCCCCACACGCAUACCGUUUUUUCUUUAAAAAAAAAAAAAAGGUACUUUUUCCCCUGGACAAUGAAUUGGAACAGCCUGAGACAGACUCUAAGCUUCUGUAUCCUUGUUUGUAACGUGGGAUUAGUCAUUCCUACCCAGAACAUCUGAGAGUUAAAAUUCAUGGAGGGGCUGAGAUGUGGCUGGUUAGCAGAAUGCUUACCUAGCGUGCACAAAGCCCUGGGUCCAUCCCCAGCACCACUGAAACCCAAUGUGGUGAUGCAUGCUUAGGACAUUUGCACUGGAGAGGCAAAGGUGGAUGAGGAAUUCAAGAAAAAAAAAGUGAAGAGUGUCUAAUGAACCUUUAGACUAUGAAAAUACGGGGUGCUUCAAAGUAGGGAAUGAGAGAAGGGAUCACCACACCUGUGUCAUGGAUGAAGACUGCCUGUUCAUUUUUUAACUAUGAUUUUCAGGUCCUUUGCUCACCAAAGGAAGCCCAAUUCACUCAAAUGUUUUGAGAACUGUUUAAAUAAAUGCAAGAAAAAUUACUGAUAAAAAAAAAAGAGCAUCCUGGGCUAUAUAAUGAGUUUGAGGUCAGCCUGGGCUACAUGAGACUCAGUCAGUUAAUCAAUCAAUCAAUCAAUCAAUCAAUCAAAGAAUGAAAAGAUCCAGGGCCACUCUGUUAGCAGGCCAGGCUCUCACCACAGGCAGGAAGCCAGCCAGAACCCUGGGCUACCUGUCUCUCUCUCUUUACUGGUGGGAUGGUCUUUGUAGGUAUGCCUUGAUCCCACAUUUGGCUUCAGGAAGAGAGACUAUCUUCCUUCCAUUAUCUGGGUAAGGUUUAACCCAAAUCCAAGUCAUGAGAGGCCUCCAAAGACCUCCUUGCAGCUUAGACUCAAGGCUACCAGCUUUUGCCCACAUUAUCAAGGCUCCACAAUUCAGUCGUCAGCUCAUGCCCCAAACAUAUGAUCAUGUCACCCAGCACAGGAAGAAACCCCUCCUCCAGCUACCUCCACCCUUCUCCCUCCCCAUCUCUGGGGAGCAACAGUUGUUUCUCUCAGAGUUUCCACAAGCUUCUCCACCCCUCAGACCAAUAACCCUCUGUGCCUGGCACAGGCCCUGCCCUUCUUGCCAGGGGCAGCUGCUACUGGGGGAGCUGCCUACCCACGCACUCUCUGGCACCAGGCACUGGUUUAGCAUAAACAGGAGUCCACAGACAGAGCCGACCUAGAGCUCCCUCGGAAAGUGUCCCAGCUGGGACAGUAGCAGAGCCAAGCAGAGGCACAUGUGGGUGCCCUGGGUGCUAGGGUUGGCUUCUUCUAACCUUGGCUGGUUGAUCUAAUCAGAACCACCCUCACAGGGAGGCCAAACGGCACCACCCCAGAUGGAGAGGUUGCAGGUGUGCUCAGGAGCUUGGGUGCAGCUCCAGCACAGAGUGUGAUUUUGGGUUUGGUGCCCAAAAUACAACUCAGGGCAGAACACAGAGGUCAUAGGGGCAUUCGGGAGUGUGUGUAGCACAGGGAGGGUGUGUUGUCCUAGGUCCGUCCCCUAGUUUAGGACUGAGAACAGCCCCUCUGUACGUUGCUCUUGGUGCCCCUGUGUGAUACUGAGCAUGGGGACUGAGCUGAGCCAAUAUUCUAACCUGCCCCUGCUUUGGGGGUGAUAGGGGGAUGGUGAGGAAGGUGGUACUCCCUAGAGGGAUUCCGGUAAAAGUUCAGGGUCAGGAUGGGAAGUGUAUCAUAAGCUGGAAGGUCAUGACAGCAGGGGACAGUGACAGGGGACACUGAGAGCAGGAGCGGUUGGGUUGGUUGAGUGUGUGUGUGAGAGUCAGUCCUGGUAAAUGCCAGUGGGCUGCAUUUAGGAAAGAAGGAAAGAAGCAGGAGAGACAGGGCUGAAGUCACCCCCCACCCCUUUUUAAUUAAAAUUAAAAAUUUGAAACAGUGUUUCUAAGUUGCUAAGGCUGACCUUGAACUUACUCAGUAGUUCAAGCAGAUCUUGAAUUUGGAGUAUUCCUGUUUCAGCCCUAGUAGCCAGGAUUCUAGGUGUGUACCACCAGGUAUGGCUUGCCCCCAUUUUUAUAGUA